rnacentral:rRNA from 1 species
GACGUAGGGCGCGAGCGUUGUCCGGAUUUAUUGGGCGUAAAGAGCUCGUAGGCGGUCUGUCGCGUCGGCUGUGAAAACUCGGGGCUCAACUCCGAGCCUGCAGUCGAUACGGGCAGACUAGAGUGCUGUAGGGGAGACUGGAAUUCCUGGUGUAGCGGUGAAAUGCGCAGAUAUCAGGAGGAACACCGGUGGCGAAGGCGGGUCUCUAGUACGGUACUGACGCUGAGACGCGAAAGCGUGGGGAGCGAACAGG